rnacentral:rRNA from 1 species
UAAUUGAAGAGUUUGAUCAUGGCUCAGAUUGAACGCUGGCGGCAGGCCUAACACAUGCAAGUCGAGCGGCAGCACAAGGGAGUUUACUUCUGAGGUGGCGAGCGGCGGAC